rnacentral:lncRNA from 1 species
AGGACUUGCCUCAUCAGGAAGAUGGGAACAGGAAGCACACAGUGAGAGAUGGCCAAGCUGAUCAAACUCUGAGUUGCUACAAGUGAAAGUGUUAUAAUGACAACUGACAUGUACUCUGAACACACUCCACAGAAAACUCCAGACCUUCUGUGAAAUAGAUUUACCCUCCUUUGGAGUUUGGUGGCCCAGUGAAAAAUCUCUGAAGCUCAUCCUGGACCCCAUGGAACUUGGUGACUGGAGACCC